CAGGUUUUUGCCCUUUUGAAAGUUGGCAAACGUGUUUAUUAUGAGCACAUCCCAUGAUUCAUUUUCCGAGCGCAGGGUGUUAUGGUGCGUUAUCUAUCGCUGUGAUGGUGCGAAAUCAACAAAGCAGAGCUAAGAUCUUCGACAGUGGCUUUUGUGAAGCAGGUUUGCGAAAGCGUGAAAGUGAAGGCGCCCGAGAAACCGCAGCCGUGUCUAUGGCGUCGCUCAGCACAUCAGACUUUUUCACUCAUCUGCAAAACCUCUUGAGUGACCUCUGCACCAGGGGCCCCUGGUGGGCCCUGGGGUCCUGGAGGGCCGGGAGGUCCUUGAGGUCCCGGCUGAAACAUAAAGCAUACUUUUAAUCUCUUACUUGGACGUCAUGAG